rnacentral:rRNA from 1 species
AUACGGAGGGUGCAAGCGUUACUCGGAAUUACUGGGCGUAAAGGACGCGUAGGCGGUUUAGAAAGUCAGAUGUGAAAGCCUAUGGCUUAACCAUAGAACUGCAUUUGAAACUUCCAAACUAGAGUGGGGGAGAGGUCAGUGGAAUUAGUGGUGUAGGGGUAAAAUCCGUAGAGAUCACUAGGAAUACUCAUUGCGAAGGCGACUGACUGGAACUUAACUGACGCUCAGGCGUGAAAGCGUGGGGAGCAAACAGGAUUAGAAACCCCGGUAGUCA